rnacentral:rRNA from 1 species
CAUUAACACAUUAAACGUUACCGGCACCCCUCAACAGGGUGUGCUCGGACCGUUCAAACCCCCUGCGUACACGUACUUCUGUUGCUUCCCGUCCACUGCUUCGGCUUUGCGGCGGGGAGGUCUACCGAAACUCCUGUCUUCUCAUGCAGUCUGUAGAUGGCGGCUAGUCCGCGAAAACUAAAAAGUUAAAACUUUCAACAACGGAUCUCUUGGUUCUCGCAUCGAUGAAGAACGCAGCGAAAUGCGAUAAGUAGUGUGAAUUGCAGAAUUCAGUGAAUCAUCGAAUCUUUGAACGCACAUUGCGCCCUCUGGUAUUCCGGAGGGCAUGCCUGUCCGAGCGUCGUCAAACCCCCUCAAGCUUGCUUUUGCUACAGCUUGGUUAUGGCCGAAGAUCGCACGUCCCUUCGGGGUCGGUGUUCCCGGCUGAAAGAGAUCUGGCGGAGAGCCUGGUCUCCACGGAUGUAGUAAGCUUCAUGCCUAUCUUCCGUUGGUGUGGCCAGUUAUCCAGCCGUCAACCUCACUUCUUCUGGUUGAC